rnacentral:rRNA from 1 species
ACUUAAAUUGAAGAGUUUGAUCAUGGCUCAGAUUGAACGCUGGCGGCAGGCCUAACACAUGCAAGUCGAGCGGUAGCACAGAGAGCUUGCUCUCGGGUGACGAGCGGCGGACGGGUGAGUAAUGUCUGGGAAACUGCCUGAUGGAGGGGGAUAACUACUGGAAACGGUAGCUAAUACCGCAUAACGUCGCAAGACCAAAGUGGGGGACCUUCGGGCCUCAUGCCAUCAGAUGUGCCCAGAUGGGAUUAGCUAGUAGGUGGGGUAACGGCUCACCUAGGCGACGAUCCCUAGCUGGUCUGAGAGGAUGACCAGCCACACUGGAACUGAGACACGGUCCAGACUCCUACGGGAGGCAGCAGUGGGGAAUAUUGCACAAUGGGCGCAAGCCUGAUGCAGCCAUGCCGCGUGUGUGAAGAAGGCCUUCGGGUUGUAAAGCACUUUCAGCGGGGAGGAAGGCGAUAAGGUUAAUAACCUUGUCGAUUGACGUUACCCGCAGAAGAAGCACCGGCUAACUCCGUGCCAGCAGCCGCGGUAAUACGGAGGGUGCAAGCGUUAAUCGGAAUUACUGGGCGUAAAGCGCACGCAGGCGGUCUGUCAAGUCGGAUGUGAAAUCCCCGGGCUCAACCUGGGAACUGCAUUCGAAACUGGCAGGCUAGAGUCUUGUAGAGGGGGGUAGAAUUCCAGGUGUAGCGGUGAAAUGCGUAGAGAUCUGGAGGAAUACCGGUGGCGAAGGCGGCCCCCUGGACAAAGACUGACGCUCAGGUGCGAAAGCGUGGGGAGCAAACAGGAUUAGAUACCCUGGUAGUCCACGCUGUAAACGAUGUCGAUUUGGAGGUUGUGCCCUUGAGGCGUGGCUUCCGGAGCUAACGCGUUAAAUCGACCGCCUGGGGAGUACGGCCGCAAGGUUAAAACUCAAAUGAAUUGACGGGGGCCCGCACAAGCGGUGGAGCAUGUGGUUUAAUUCGAUGCAACGCGAAGAACCUUACCUGGUCUUGACAUCCACAGAACUUUCCAGAGAUGGAUUGGUGCCUUCGGGAACUGUGAGACAGGUGCUGCAUGGCUGUCGUCAGCUCGUGUUGUGAAAUGUUGGGUUAAGUCCCGCAACGAGCGCAACCCUUAUCCUUUGUUGCCAGCGGUUAGGCCGGGAACUCAAAGGAGACUGCCAGUGAUAAACUGGAGGAAGGUGGGGAUGACGUCAAGUCAUCAUGGCCCUUACGACCAGGGCUACACACGUGCUACAAUGGCAUAUACAAAGAGAAGCGACCUCGCGAGAGCAAGCGGACCUCAUAAAGUAUGUCGUAGUCCGGAUUGGAGUCUGCAACUCGACUCCAUGAAGUCGGAAUCGCUAGUAAUCGUAGAUCAGAAUGCUACGGUGAAUACGUUCCCGGGCCUUGUACACACCGCCCGUCACACCAUGGGAGUGGGUUGCAAAAGAAGUAGGUAGCUUAACCUUCGGGAGGGCGCUUACCACUUUGUGAUUCAUGACUGGGGUGAAGUCGUAACAAGGUAACCGUAGGGGAACCUGCGGUUGGAUCACCUCCUUACCUUAAAGAA